GAUGAAGAACGCAGCGAAUUGCGAUAUGUAAUGUGAAUUGCAGAAUUCAGUGAAUCAUCGAAUUUUUGAACGCACCUUGCGCCCCUUGGUAUUCCGAGGAGCAUGCCUGUUUGAGUGUCAGUAAAUUCUCAAACCCUUCCAGCUUUUUGUAGUUGGCUCUGGGUCUUGGAUGUGGAGGUGUUGCAGGCCUUUUUGAGGUCAGCUCCCCUGAAAUGCAUUAGUAGAACCGUUUGCAAUCCAUCACAGGUGUGAUAAUUAUCUACGCCAGUGGGUUGCUCUCUGUCACUGUUCAGCUUACAAUUGUCCCAUUCUUGUGGACCAACUAUUGCUGAUUCUUUGACCUCAAAUCAGGUAGGACUACCCGCUGAACUUAAGCAUAUCAAUAAGCGGAGGA
rnacentral:misc_RNA from 1 species